CCGCCCAUAGCUCAGCUGGUAGAGCAGCUCCCUUUUAAGGAGAAGGUCCUUGGUUCGAUCCCAAGUGGGCGGACAA
rnacentral:tRNA from 1 species